rnacentral:rRNA from 1 species
GACGAACGCUGGCGGCGUGCUUAACACAUGCAAGUCGAGCGAUGAAGUUCCUUCGGGAAUGGAUUAGCGGCGGACGGGUGAGUAACACGUGGGUAACCUGCCUCAUAGAGGGGAAUAGCCUUUCGAAAGGAAGAUUAAUACCGCAUAAAAUUGUAGUGCCGCAUGGCAUAGCAAUUAAAGGAGUAAUCCGCUAUGAGAUGGACCCGCGUCGCAUUAGCUAGUUGGUGAGGUAACGGCUCACCAAGGCGACGAUGCGUAGCCGACCUGAGAGGGUGAUAGGCCACAUUGGGACUGAGACACGGCCCAGACUCCGACGGGAGGCAGCAGUGGGGAAUAUUGCACAAUGGGGGAAACCCUGAUGCAGCACCGCCGCGUGAGGGAUGACGGUCUUCGGAGUGUAAAGCUCUGUCUUCAGGGACGAUAAUGACGGUACCUGAGGAGGAAGCCACGGCUAACUACGUGCCAGCCGCCGCGGUAA